CACUAGAAGACAGUGGAAGGAAAUAAACAAACUACCAAGACUACAAAAACCCAAACUAGAUGAAAAAGUAAACAAACAAAAAACCUAACACAAAGUCCAAAAUGUCGCACCCCAACAUUCACUCCUAAAAUGUUUCUGACGUUGGAUUUCUCAGGAAUCCCAUUGCAUUUUUUUUGUGGAGACCUAAUUAUAUGAUUCAAAAGCAAAGGCGCUGACCGGAUUGGUGUGGAUGUACGUUCCUAAAGUUUUGGCUUCUAUGUGACUUCAUGCCUGUCUCUGAUUGGUUAUUAAAAGAUUCUCCUCCGGGCACAGCUCUCUGUGCCAAUGGUGAAUCAGGGUUUUUUGUGUCAUUCUUGAUCUAAUCUGAUUAAGUCAUGAUACCUGUCAAACAAAGUCACAUCCCUGGCAGCAUAGACAAGCGGGCAUGAAUGUCAUUCAAACAUGUGGAUGCAAACGGAAGAGUCAGACAGGAAGAACAAGACAGGAGGCAAUGUCAGCAGUGAAAGUUCGGUCAUUUAUUUGCAAAAUAAUAACAGACCGUUUUCCAUUUCUUGUGGAAAGCUCCGGGCUUUUGAAAGCUCAGGGCGUGUUUGGUGCAAAUUUACCCGAGUAAUUACACUUUCCAGGAGCCUUACUUUCACAGGUAAAAGAUCCUGGUCUGAAGUACUGUAGGUCUUUCCAGAUUUCCUUGGGUACGUUAAAAGGGCAGGUUUGCCAGCAGCAAGACAUUGCACCACCAGCUGCAGUAAUGGCGGAAGUGAUUCAGACAGCUCAGCAGAAGGAGGGACAAGGUUUGGAUGCAGUUUCCCUGAAGCUCCCAAAUGAUCUUCUUCACCUUUGUGUUCUGCUAUCGUCUGCUCCACUGUCUACGCAUCUUCUACGUCAUAUAAAUAUUUGCUUAUGAUUAGACAGUCAAGAUAUCAAUUCCCUGUACUUCUGGUCUGAUUAUCUAUUUUUUUUUCUAAUAAAUAAAAUUUAUUUUUUUA